rnacentral:rRNA from 1 species
CACGAACGCUGGCGGCAUGCCUAACACAUGCAAGUCGAACGGACCCUUCGGGGUUAGUGGCGCACGGGUGCGUAACGCGUGGGAAUCUGCCCAAAGGUUCGGAAUAACUCAGGGAAACUUGAGCUAAUACCGGAUAAUGUCGCAAGACCAAAGAUUUAUUGCCUUUGGAUGAGCCCGCGUAGGAUUAGCUAGUUGGUGGGGUAAAAGCCUACCAAGGCGACGAUCCUUAGCUGGUCNGAGAGGAUGAUCAGCCACACUGGGACUGAGACACGGCCCAGACUCCUACGGGAGGCAGCAGUGGGGAAUAUUGGACAAUGGGCGAAAGCCUGAUCCAGCAAUGCCGCGUGAGUGAUGAAGGCCUUAGGGUUGUAAAGCUCUCUUACCCGGGAUGAUAAUGACAGUACCGGGAGAAUAAGCUCCGGCUAACUCCGUGCCAGCCGCCGCCGUAA